CUGGCAUGGUCCCACGAACCCAUGCACAUGCAGUUAAGAUUAGGAACGUGCAGCGGUUACGGAGGGAUUCACACGUUCUCUGUCGCACUUCAUUUCGGCGUUUUAUUUCCUUAGUGAAAACAUUCCAACGAAUCUAUUGCAGUGUCAAAACUCAGCGCUGUUUCUUGCUAAACGGAUUCCAAGAUUUUGUCUCCAUGACACAAGUUGAGCCAUCUGAACCAACUGUCACUCAGCUCAGCGAUGCUCGGCCGUGAACGGACGCUUCUUGCAAAGACCAGCGUGUACUUGGCACACAUGAACAGCACCGUGAAUCCGUUUUGCUAUGCCGUGGCUAACCCGCU
rnacentral:misc_RNA from 1 species